ACCUUCAAAGAUCAUCUAGUCCAACCCCAUUGCCAUGGGCAGGGACAUCUUCCACUAGAUUGGGUCCUGACUGGGUUGUAAAAUUCAAAAUCUCCUGCGUAAAUUAUUUGUGUGCAUUUGUUCCUAGGCCAGUGUUCUCCUUGCCACUGGAGAAGGUUCCUCCUCCCUGUUCCCUGCUCCUCUGGUGUCCACCAGCACCUCGGUAUUCACCACCAGGCACAGGGGACAAACCUGGGCUGCGUAGUGUCAAAAUCUGCUGCAAGAUGGGACUGAACUUUCUGUUAACAGUACGAUAUUUAAGUUUCUAGUGAAUACUUACAGACCUGGGUUUCUUUUCGUGGGAACUAACUAAAAAAUAAUUAAAAGUAAAAUCUUCUACUCACAUUGACCUGUGAGUUUUCAGAAGCUCACUGCCAGCUGUGGCCACAUCUCGUCAUGCAGUGCUUCUGCCUUGAUGUCUACUGCAGAUUUUCUAGUAUUAAGUCUUCCUUUUUAUCUGCCAUUGCUUUCAGACCCUCCAUCAAGUCCUGUCAGACUUUGGGUUUGUGGUGUAUGAAAUGAUUGUUCGUUUUGGUUUUCCAGAAGACGUUUGCUUCCUGGGAGGGUUGGUGUCUCACCUGGAUGGUACUAAGAUUCCUUUAUAUGGUCUAGGCAAGAGCACCAAAGAAAUGUUAUUCCCAUGUCUGAGCAUUCAUGACCAUUUGAGUAACUUGGCCUAGUGGAAGAUGUCCCUGCCCAUGGCAGGGGGGUUGGACCAGAGGGUCUUUGAAGGUCCCUUCCAAACCAACAUAUUCCAUGAGUGUCUGUAGGCAGUGUAGUCUGAAUUGAAGGAUAACCAUUUUAUGGACUGCCUUGAUUUUCAUGUGUUGAUCCUCUCCUGCUGACACAGGCCGUGGGAGCUGUGGUGCCGCCUGCCUUGCCCCCUCUGCCUGAGGCUUUCCUUCUCUUUUUGCUGGCAGCUUCCUGGUACAGACCUCGUGGUCACUGGUGGGCAUCACCAGCGCUUAGUGUUAGUCGUAGAACACUUGGUAGACGCCAAAGCGUAGUGGUGAUCCUGGCAGAGACCUCUCUGAGCACUGACCCGGGCAAAUACGCAACGGGGUGGAGAGGGGAGAUGAGUGCCGUGGCUGCAGGUGCUUCUGCUGCCCAUGCAAAGCUCUGGUCUGCACAGAAGCUGUAACAAGGAUGGUGCCACCAUCAGAAGGAUGUUAAGAAAUUAAUUUCAGAUGAAUUAAGUCUGUCUGCUGUUUUUCACCCAAAUUAUUCUUUAGCCAUGAUUGCAAAUUUGUAAAGUAUUGACUGUAAAGUAUCGAUGCCUUUGCAGUAGAUCAUAGUACUGUCCAUGUUCUAGAGCUACAGGAGGAGGUCAGUGAGCUAAACUACUUGCCCUGUGCAGGACUGCUGUCACCUCUGUCACCUCUGACAUUUGUUCUUAAUAGUUAAGUGGAAUUUUACAUGCCUGCUUCUAAAACUGAGUUUAAGAGUUAACCACAGCUCUGAUAGCAGGGUUGGGCUUCGUACCAAAGGCUGGUAGCGUAACUCUGCAGCACUGAAAGCCAACACCUAAGGACAAAACUCUUUGAAAUCUUGUUCUCCCUUGCACUGCUAGUGUUGGAAAUUGGAAACGCCUACUGACUCAUGCAGAUGUUGCUGAAUGCUAAAGUCAUUUGUACUUUGAAUUUUUAUUCGUCAAAAAGUUGGUAGUGGGAAGUAUGGGCUGGGUUUGGUGAAUAUUAGAAUUGCACAUAGCUGGAUUGAGGCCUGUGUGCUAUAAAAUACCCAGUUUAUUAUGCUGCAUAGCUGUAUUAUAGAUAUAGUCUGCAGAAAAUGCUAAGACUGAGGCUGUAGGUAAUUUAAGCCAUGGUCUCAGGUGGUUCAGCUCUCCAGGGCGCUCUCCCGGGAGCAGACCCUCCAUCUGUCCUCGUCCUCAGCCUUGACACCACCUCCCUGAAAACCCUCCGGAGUGGGACUUCUGCCUCUGGACUCCUGAGGAAAGACUUGGUUUGGCUGCUGCGAAACGCUAAAGCAAACUCUAAGGCUUUUUAAGAUGGCCAAGAAGAGAUCAUCCUUCUUAGCAAUGUGUGCAGCCACAUGCCGGAGCCGUGGGGAACAAGCUGCCGCAGGAGCUCUCGGGUAAUGCCCUGGGCUCGUGGACUUGGACGCGGGGAGCAAGAUGACUGAUGUUGGACCCCCAUGUGCUGCUCCAGGUGGGGAUGUGGUCCUGGCCAUGACCCACUGCUGCUCAGAGAGCAUCCCCACAUUGAGCAGCCUUGUGUUGUGCAUCCCAUGGGGUGCUUUUCUUUUAGUACAGAAAGGGCAUUUGUUUGCUUUCUCCUGGCAGAGAUGGCUAAAAUAUUAAUAUUAAGUGCAUCACCAAGAUGGAAUAAAGGUUAAAUAUGGUCUCUGUUUGCUAGAGUUUCUAAACAUGGACAGAGAGCUGAAGCGUGCAAGUUAAAGCUGAUGAUCUUUAAUGCUUUCCCAGUCCUUUCUGAAUUGAUCAAGGGCUGCUAUGGAACUUUUGUUUACAGUUUUAUGUGCUGUGUAGUGAUGAGAGAAACGGGGAAAACAUUGGCAUAGUAAAAGCAAAAUCAGCCUCUUAAUCUAGGCUAGUAUCCUUUUAUGGGACAGUGGAUUAGUGUAUUAGCAGAGGCUGAAAUUUUAGAGAUACUCGGGUGCCUAAAAAUUCAGAUAAAAGCCUAAUGAGAUUUUUCAGAAAUGCAGUUUUUCAAUGGCAUUUUGGCUCAUAGUGUCCUCUGAAAUUCCCGUUAGGAGCCAAUCUGCGUGCUUAAGCACCCAGCUACCUUAAAUAUCUAGCUUUUGGUGCCUAAACACAGCGUAGCUACUUUCUCUCUCCUUCAAGGCACCGCCUAAAGAAGAAUGCAUCCAGAAACCACCUGUAAUCUACAUGGCCUCCUCAACCCAGCAAGAUUUGUAGAGCUCUGAUAAAUUUGGGGGAACAAGAGGGGAUUUAAAAAUGCUGGGGAAAGGGAAUUAUGUAAAUACUUAAUCUCUUGAGCCCAUGACAGUGCACUUUGCUUUGGCAUUAGGUCAACGCUGGUUUUGAGAAUAUGGCCUGCUGUCACCUUCCAGUGGCAAGAAGACAUUGAUACACACCUGUGUGCCACCUUCUGGGUGAAAGCCUGUAUUCUGAUGAAGUAAUGGGGAAUACCCGCCUUUAAGAUCAGAAACAGCUUUUGCCACUGAAGAAAGAGACUGACUCAGUUGCAUCCUCGAGUCUGAAAACUCCAAAUUUCCAUGCAAGCAUAUAUUCAAAAACUGAAAAUGCUUAAUAAUAGUUGAACGUUUUACUUCAGAUACAGAUUAAUUUUGUAUAAAUAACUGGAGGUGGGCCAUAGGUAGUACUGGUGUCUGGGGAUGGUACCUAACUUCCUCUGCUUUCAUACAAUUCUGAUGUGUUCAAAUAUUUAUGUCCUCAUAUGUACCUUCCCAGAUUUGUGUGUGACAGUCACAUUAUCACAGAAAAUUAAUUCAGUGUGGUUAUGACAUUGUUGAUGACAGCUGCCAGGAAAUUAAAAUAAAUUCUUUGGGAAAAUCAA